ACCUGAAAUGAAGAUUGAAGUUGCGCUGCAUUAAGA
rnacentral:sRNA from 1 species